rnacentral:rRNA from 1 species
GGAUUAGGCAUGCAUGUCGGACGGUAGGGCUUUAUCGUAAGAUAGAGUUUGAGAGUGGCGAACGGGUGAGUAACACGUAGGAAUCUACCCUUAAGACGGGGACAACCCAGGGAAACUUGGGCUAAUACCGGAUGAGAGUGCGAGAGAUUGCAUUUAAAAGGAUGGCGAAAGUUGUCGCUUAGGGAUGAGCCUGCGGUCUAUUAGUUAGUUGGUGAGGUAAGAGCUCACCAAGGCGAUGAUAGAUAGGCGGCCUUAACGGGUGGUCGCCCACACUGGGAUUGAGAUACGGCCCAGACUCCUACGGGAGGCAGCAGUCGAGAAUAGUCUACAAUGGCCGGAAGGCUGAUAGUGCGACGCCGCGUGAACGAGGGAGCCCUUCGGGGUGUAAAGUUCUUUUCUAUACGAGCAGUGCUAUAUAUAUGGAUAGUAUAUAUAGAGGGAUAGUAGUAUAGGAAUAAGCAACGGCUAACUCCGUGCCAGCAGCCGCGGUAACACGGGGGUUGCGAGCGUUGUCCGGAAUUACUAGGCGUAAAGGGCAGGUAGGCGGAUCUACGAGUUUUUUGUUAAAGGCUACGGCUCAACUGUAGUAGAGCAGGAGAUACUGUAGGUCUGGAAUGCGGUAGGGGAAGACAGAAUUCCUGGUGUAGCGGUGGAAUGCGCAGAGAUCAGGAGGAAUACCGAAGGCGAAGGCAGUCUUCUAGGCCGUAAUUGACGCUUAACUGCGAAGGUGUGGGGAUCAAACAGGAUUAGAUACCCUGGUAGUCCACACAGUAAACGAUAAUCACUAGAUGUCGGGUUCUAGAUGGAUUCGGUGUCGGAGCCAACGCGAUAAGUGAUUCGCCUGGGGAGUACGAUCGCAAGGUUGAAACUCAAAGGAAUUGACGG